CUCCUUGGAAAGAAUCUGUGACUAACAGGAGUCAGGAUUAUAACACUUGUAGACAGUCUGAAGGGACACCUUUGUAACAGUAUGUUUAUUCAGGGUCCUGUGUGAAACAUUGUAUCAGAGACACCAAACCGCUGAAGUCCGCUCAGAAGCCAGUUGCAGAACGUUUAGUUCUUAGGAGGUAGAAAUAGCCAUGGGUCUCAGCGCAGUUAGAAACUAGCACUUUUCUCAGAGUAAAUUCUUCAUCUACAAACACACACAAAGCACUGCCUAGCUCAUAGACUUAAAAAUAAAACAUUACAGAUGUAACCUAAAAGCCCAGUGAAGUUUUUUUUUCUGCUCAUUGUGAUGGAAGAAUCCAUCCUCAAGCAGACACCUGGGUUUUGGUUAGCACUCACAAGCUUGGUGAGACCUCAAGCACUGCCACAUGGAAGCCCACAGAAAUGCGUUGAAUAAUGUUUCAAAGGCCUAGAGUUUUGUUAUGUCACACAGAUAGGUCUUUAUUCUUUAGAAUCCUAGGGGAGUUUCAACAUGGUUAGCAACAGAGUAGGGGAUAGGAACUUGAAUUUAUCUUCUUUAACGUAGAGGAUUUCUGCUUUCUCCACAACUGGAAUUCAACUUCAAAACCUCCAGGAAAAUUUCAUCAAAUUUUCAGGUUUUGUGGGUAAAAAAGGAUGGGUUUUUUUUCUGUUCUGUUGAAAGAAUCUUCAAUACUCGCUUAGCCAGAAUGAAAAUCUUCAUAACACAGGUCUAUAAAAGGACCCCCCUGGAGCUCUAAAUGGAUACCAGCCUGUCACAGGCCUGUUGCUGUGACGACCCAGUCUUUACAGAACAAGAAAAAGAAAUGAUAGUGAUUGGCAGACCUUCCUUGCCCUAGUAUGUAACACAAAAGGAGACAAAAUGAAGAGGAAGUCAGACUCUUAUUAUAGGUUUGAUGCUUCUUAACCUUACAGCACCUUACACCUGAAACAUUAACCCCUGUGGGAAAGAGCUUUAAGCAGAGUGCUUGCAUUCCAGCUUUUCAAGAAGGAGGCUUUUGUUCUUCUCCCACGAAGACAACAAACAGUCUGCCAGGUUAGAAGAGCUGCAGGUGUGGGAGGAGUCCGGUGUUGCACGGGAAACUCAGUACCCAGAGAUUUCAAUAAAAGGCUAUGAGCAGCACAGAUUAGCUUAAGACAGAGCUGUUUGACCUUAUCUCCAACUCACCACCUUCAAUAAACACAUUUGAAGUAAAACAAACUUGCAGUGGAUAAAAGAAAUAUUUGGAAGUACUCGUAGUUCCCCAUACCUCCUAUACAAUUUGUCCCCAGUGCUCUAACUUCCUUCUGGCUAAAUGUUCACCUAUACUUUUCUCCUUUAAAUGUCACCCUGGGGGGAAGAAAGGAACAAUCUUCUUUUCUCUCUUUCCCAGCCACAGAUUUCCCCUUCUUCACACCCUUAGUUCAUUUCUGUCACACCCACCUCCUCCACUGGCCCUUA